CAACAAACUGUGAUAUCGAGCCCGAUUACGAUUUUGCAGAAGAAAUGGCGGACUAACGAUUACAAACUCGCUUGCCGAAUGUUAACGUAGAAAAGGACUGAAAAUACAUAUAAUAACGAGUAGACUCCUUAAUGACGUCUCCUCCUGGAACUGGAUUCCUGUCUAUUAUACGAGAGGCUUUCAUCGGAUGUUCAUAUACAGAAUAUACAUUUCCCUUUGAUCUCAUGGACUUUCUGAGGAACAAAUAUGCAUAGGAUCAUAAUUCUUCAGUAGCCUACCGUGUACUGACAACCUAGUCUGGACCAGAUGCCUUGUGGAAUAUCUAGUCCUUUUAUAACAUAUGAGAUGUACCCAUUAGGAUUUUUUCAAUCUGCAUUUGUUGAAAAUAGAGAAAAAACUGUUCAUUCUGGAUGUUUGCCUUACUCAUCCUAUAAGGAAAUUUUAUCUUAUUAGUCUGCUACAAAUCAAUGUUAAUAUAGAAAUAAAGUUCAUUUUAAAGAG